rnacentral:sRNA from 1 species
CGUAUUCUACCUCCUGUUGCUUUCCGAAGAGUUCCGGUCUCCUCAAUUCUUCCUCCUGGUCUCUUUUUUCAUAAGGUGCUGGUGAAUUACGUUCCUUCCUUGACAGUAUUUGUUUAAUAU